CAGUGGGGAAUAUUGGACAAUGGGCGAAAGCCUGAUCCAGCAAUGCCGCGUGUGUGAAGAAGGCCUUCGGGUUGUAAAGCACUUUAAGCAGGGAAGAAAAAAUUUCACCUAAUACGUGAAGUCUUGACGGUACCUGAAGAAUAAGCACCGGCUAACUCUGUGCCAGCAGCCGCGGUAAUACAGAGGGUGCAAGCGUUAAUCGGAUUUACUGGGCGUAAAGCGUGUGUAGGUGGUUGGAAAAGUCGAUUGUGAAAUCCCUGGGCUCAACCCGGGAACUGCUUUCGAUACUGUCUGACUAGAAUUCGGUAGAGGGAGGCGGAACUCCAGGUGUAGCGGUGAAAUGCGUAGAUAUCUGGAAGAACACCAAUGGCGAAGGCAACCUCCUGGGCCUGAAUUGACACUGAGACACGAAAGCGUGGGGAUCAAACAGGAUUAGA
rnacentral:rRNA from 1 species